GGCGGCGGCGGAGGAGGACCAGCCUGCUUCCAGGCAGCGCACGGAUCAGCCGAGCGCCGGCGCCGCGCUGUCAGGCACUUCCCCGGCUGCUGGCGGCGGUCUCCGGAUCAGUGGAUGUAAGGUUUUUGUGGAGAAAACAGAAGAUCAAGGAAGAGUUCGAACGUCGAAGGGCGGAGAGGUGGUCGAGUGCUGGAUGAGCCACUGAUAGGUGCUCUUUCUAAAGGAGCAACAAGGAGACAUUACUGUUCCACCACUGAAAGGGAGAGUCAGCAUUGCAGCAAACUCGAAGAAAAUCCUACGGAGAAGAACAGUCUGGUCUGCAAGGAAGGAACAUAACCAAGGCGAAACCCACUCCUCUAACUACUGCUCCUUAACGAGGGCUGGUGAAAACUAAUCACAUCCUGAAGAGGAAGAAGCCUCAUGAAGCUGUUGAAGCUGUUCAUCGGACACGAGAUGAAAUCAACAUGCUGACGAAGUUUGAGACACACACGGGUUAUCAGAUGCUUUCCCUCCAUUUUGUGCCGUAUUACCAGACUUUUCUUUCUCCCCCUCGGCCCGUCUACGAUCAAAACAUCGUGCAGAGAAAUCGUGGCGAUCCAAGAGGCUCUGAGCAGAAAGGUCAUAGAGAGAGUCUGUAAAAUGGAUGAAGCCUAAUGAUUAGCUCAACCUUUGCCUAAUCAAUAAUCAUUUAUCCAACAAUAUCACCGGCAGCCACAGCCCCAUUUGCCAUUAACCUCAGCAGCGAGGCGAGAGGCAGUAUUGUUUCCUCUGGCAGCUUUAUGGCACUCCGAUGAGUGGUAGGGCCGGGAGGAAGCUUAAGGUUGGAUCUUGAUGGCUCGGAUCCUAUUAAGAGACUGCAGGUAUUUUACUGGAGAAGUGUCACAUAAUUACACUUUUAAAUGAUUGACGGUAAUGUUCAGCAUGCUGGUAAAACUGUACAACGGGAGAGGGGGAUGAUCAUUUAGCUCCAGGACAGAAUAUUAAAAAUGUUUAUGUGCACUUAAGUGAAAACAAAGGCCUUAAAUAUUUGUUAAAUUGGAAAAUGUUGAAUUUUGUUUUGUUUCAUAAAAAAAAAAAGAAGAAACAUUUUAAAAGGUCUAGAAUGUCAGCUUUGUCUUUCCAUGUUCUGGAGCAUUUUGAAGAAGGGAAAUCAAUAAACGUGUUUAGGUCCGACUUAGCUCAUAUCUCCUUCCCCAGCAAAAAACACACUGCAAAUUAUCACUACAUAAAAACACUAAUCUGUGCCUCCGCUUCUUAUUCCUGUCCCACACUCAGCCGCGAAGCAUUAGCUGCGCCCGUCUCCUCUGUGUCUCUCCAUGAUGCCAUCUUCAUCAUAACCUCUCCCGUUUUAUUGCUUUUAAUGACUCCUUCUCCCUUUUCAUUAAUUCUUUAUCGAUUCCUCUUGACGUCGCCUGAAUUAUUUUUCAAUUACAGAAAAUAAAAGAAAAAGAAGAGCCACGGAAUAUGCACGGCUGCCUGCGUUUGCUAUGGUUGUGUUGCGGCCGCCGGUUUGUGCUCUUUAUUUCUUCCCCUACAUCUUUCUGGUAAAAACACACACUUUCACACCCCUUCCUACACACAAUACACACGGAAUAUGACUACGGCCGCAGAAGAAGAGCCGAAAGGUCACCGCUGGCUUCCAGAGGCUGAGCUGGGGUUCUCUGUAGUGUGUUUCCCAGAGAGGAGCGGAACUUGGACACGGUCCACUGGGGCAAGCAAACACACACACGCCAACACACAGAGAAAACGUCUUCCAACUGACGAAUUGGGAUCUUUUAAUAUGCUGAUUUGAGAAUAUGAAGGAUGGUCUCAAAAGCAGAUAGAUGCGGUCGCAAAAUGAGCCUCUGAAGGCGCCGGUUUAAUACCCACAGGUCGUUAAUUAUAACAAUUAUUCAAGCCCAUAUCACAGACACAUAUUGACUGUUUUUUUUCUUCUUUUUGGUCUCUACUUGGGUUGUCUGGUGACGCACCCCAAAAGGCUCAAUUAAAGAAUAAAGUGAGUGUAUUAAAUGUGUGUAUGUGUAGGAGUGUGUGUGUGAUUGUACAGGAAAUGGAAAUAGAUUUUCACCUGCACUGUUUAUUAUGGGGCGCACAAUGCUUUUUUGUCCCUCUGUUGUCCAAUUACAUCAUAUUAUGUUGAAGUCGUGUCAGACAGAAUUAUGUUUUAUGACCCGGAUGGGUGCGAUGCACACACAUGCACACACACACACAUAUAUAUAUAUUUGGACAUGUGAUGGAAAUCAAAUAAACUUGUUCCAUCCACUCACCUGUGUGGUCAUCUGAGUACAUGCGCAGCACCGUAUGUCCCUUAAGUGUCGUAUUUAAGCUACCUUCGCCAUGUUGCAUGGCUGUCCUACGAUGUGUGUGUUCCUCAGUGCGUGUGUGUGCGUGAGUGUGUGUUUGACCUCCACUGCCCGUCUCCCUGCCAUCCCUCCUUUGAGAGCCAGUGUGAUAUACGGAGCUCUAAUUGUCAGGUCUGGCCCCCACAUUCCUCGCCUCCAACAGCCGACCAACAGUGUGUCACUUUAACAACCGCAAAUUAUCACCGCGAUGGAGAUCUCGGCUUCACCGCGCCUCUGUGAGAAUAUAGAUACAUUUCCUUCAAUAAAUUACUUCCCACCAACCACCGACACUCCACACACACACACACACCUAUAAUCUCACACAGUCGACUCAUUACCUGUCUGCCGCUGUCCUCUCUCACACUCGCCGGUCUCUGACUGACGUUUUUACCACAACAUUAUUGUGUGUGCCUCAGGAUCUGCCUAAAAGGGAAUGAGAUGAAGCUAACCCUUUGUGUCACUUUGACCAGGGUGUUUGAUUCUUAAAUAUGUGAGCUGGAACAGAACAGGGAGGGGCCGGGGAGUCUAGACACAGACAGAAAAAUACUGUUUAAUUUGCUGCGUUCAGUUUUUAUUGACUGUAAUUUUUUUAUUUUUUUUAAUCACUUGAAAUGAAAUGUAGAAAGUGCUUUUGAAGAAUCUUUUACACAAUGGGUGUCCAGGCUUUUUGUCAUGUGGGCCAAAAUUGUCGAGUCAAAAGUGUUGGUGGGCCGAGAAAAUGAAAAGAAAAAUGAAAUCAAGUAAAUAAAGUAGUCAGAUUUUUGGGGGGUUUGUUAUUUGUAGGAAACGGAUAUUAUUCAAUAUGUUUUAUUAAAAGAGAGGCAUCUUGUUUUCAAAUUCUUUUGGGCUCCAUUUGAAGAAUUUUAUUAUAAGUUUUAAAAACAGGAUUUGGGACACUUCCUUUGAAAAUGUUUGCUAUAUUUAGCUGAGUUUAAUUAAUAGUUGGCUUUCCAGUAAAAGUCUCUAAAUAGACGUGGUUCUACUUAUUAUAAAGAUUUAAUUGUAAAAAAGAUGAAUACUUUAUGUUGUGCUUUACAAACUUUACAUUUAAGAAAUUUACGUCAAUAAAACCUUUACCCUGAUUAAAAAAAAAAAAAAGUCUCUAAAUGCAUCAACCACCCAGGUGGACGGGUCAAAUCUGCAGCUUUCUUCAACUGCAGUUGGGGGCCACAAAAAGUCAGCCUAAGGGCCACAAAUGGCCUUUGAACGCUCCUGGUUCAGAGUAACCUUUAGCAUCUUCUGUAGCAAAUUACAUCUGAUUAUCUCUUCUGAAAAACAGAAGUGGAAAAAAAACUAAAGGAUGGAACAGAAAAAAAUAAAUAAAUAAAAAGAGUAAUGUCAUUAUCAGACUGAACCAUUAGAGCCCAUCCUGCCAUGUGGUUCAUUUUUAUAUCAGCACUAAACAAAAUAAUUCCAACCACCCAAUCGGAUGCAGCCUAAGUAGUUCAACAUGGUCGUGAGAAGCGGAGCAGUCAUCUUCUCCGGCGGACGGGAUGCCACGUAAGUGUUUCAGGCUGUCUCCAUAGAAGUCCCGGCCAGCUCCGCUGCGGGCUCGGCCAGAACCGGGGCUUCUCUCUAAUGAAAGGCAGGCUGAAAAAGCCUCUUUGAUUGAUUUCCUACAUCUUGAUUUGAUAUCCUGAAUUAAUUAUUUGAACUUGAAUAAUAUAUAAAGGGAAAAAUAAAUGUAAAACACUCAGGGGAAAUAAGUGGAGCACUUCAGUGCUGUUGCCGCAGCUGCGUUUGAUACACUGGUUCUCUAUCUGCUUGUCAAUCUUUCCCUGGAAUACUAUGGAGUUUAUCUCCAACGGAGGAAACCUCGUGUGGAGUCGUGGCAGAUGGAGGUUUUUAUGCGACUGUGGAAGACAGUAAAAGUACAGAACCUUAAAAAGUUUUCAUCCCCCUUGACCUUUUACACAUUUUGCCACAGCACAGAUUUCAUUGUGGUUUGUUUUUCACUGUAUUAUCCAGAAGACCAACACAAGCGGUGCACCGUGGUGAAGUAGGAGAAGCAGGAGACAUGGGGCUCAGAGGGUUUUCAAAAUAAAAAUCUGAAAAAGCUGGGAUGCAUUCAACUCCAUUCAUUCUAACUCACCUAAAGUCAACGGAACUAAUUUCCUUCAAAUGUCAAAAUAACAAGGCGCUGCUUUGAGAAGACUAACUGCUGUCUGUAGGCUAACCAUCAGAACCUGCAGUUACGGGGCCACAAGUGGCUCUCUAAGCCUUUUAAUGGCUAUUAGUAAGGGGGGCAAAUCAGGCCAAAGUAAGUAUUACCAAGCAAGUAUUGGUGUUCUAAUCAAUACUAAUACUAGUAUUAUAAUACUAGUAAGAUAGAUCCUGUAGUUUCAGAUUUCUUUAUGAAAUGUUAUUUCUUUAUUUUUG